rnacentral:rRNA from 1 species
AUUGAACGCUGGCGGCAUGCUUUACACAUGCAAGUCGAACGGUAACAGGCCGCAAGGUGCUGACGAGUGGCGAACGGGUGAGUAAUGCAUCGGAACGUGCCCAGUCGUGGGGGAUAACGCAGCGAAAGCUGUGCUAAUACCGCAUACGAUCUAUGGAUGAAAGCGGGGGACCGUAAGGCCUCGCGCGAUUGGAGCGGCCGAUGUCAGAUUAGGUAGUUGGUGGGGUAAAGGCUCACCAAGCCAACGAUCUGUAGCUGGUCUGAGAGGACGACCAGCCACACUGGGACUGAGACACGGCCCAGACUCCUACGGGAGGCAGCAGUGGGGAAUUUUGGACAAUGGGCGCAAGCCUGAUCCAGCAAUGCCGCGUGCAGGAAGAAGACCUUCGGGUUGUAAACUGCUUUUGUACGGAACGAAAAGAUUUGGGUUAAUACCCUGGGCCGAUGACGGUACCGUAAGAAUAAGCACCGGCUAACUACGUGCCAGCCGCCGCGGUAAAAC